UACAGGGGGUGCAAACGUUGCUCGGAAUCAUUGGGCGUAAAGCGCACGUAGGCGGUCUGUUAUGUCGGAUGUGAAAGCCCUUGGCUUAACUGAGGAAGUGCAUCCGAAACUGGCAGGCUAGAGUACUAAAGAGGGUCGCGGAAUUCCCGGUGUAGAGGUGAAAUUCGUAGAUAUCGGGAGGAACACCAGUGGCGAAGGCGGCGACCUGGGUAGAUACUGACGCUGAGGUGCGAAAGCGUGGGGAGCAAACAGG
rnacentral:rRNA from 1 species